rnacentral:rRNA from 1 species
AGCCGAGCGGUAUUCGUCCUUCGGGACGGAGAGAGCGGCGUACGGGUGCGGAACACGUGUGCAACCUGCCUUUAUCUGGGGGAUAGCCUUUCGAAAGGAAGAUUAAUACCCCAUAAUAUAUUUGAUGGCAUCAUCGAAUAUUGAAAACUCCGGUGGAUAGAGAUGGGCACGCGCAAGAUUAGAUAGUUGGUGAGGUAACGGCUCACCAAGUCAGUGAUCUUUAGGGGGCCUGAGAGGGUGAUCCCCCACACUGGUACUGAGACACGGACCAGACUCCUACGGGAGGCAGCAGUGAGGAAUAUUGGACAAUGGGUGAGAGCCUGAUCCAGCCAUCCCGCGUGAAGGACUAAGGCCCUAUGGGUUGUAAACUUCUUUUAUACUGGGAUAAACCUACUUACGUGUAAGUAGCUGAAGGUACAGUAUGAAUAAGCACCGGCUAACUCCGUGCCAGCAGCCGCGGUAAUACGGAGGGUGCAAGCGUUAUCCGGAUUUAUUGGGUUUAAAGGGUCCGUAGGCGGAUCCGUAAGUCAGUGGUGAAAUCUCAUAGCUCAACUAUGAAACUGCCAUUGAUACUGCGGGUCUUGAGUGAGAUUGAGGUAGCUGGAAUAAGUAGUGUAGCGGUGAAAUGCAUAGAUAUUACUUAGAACACCAAUUGCGAAAGCAGGUUACCAAGUCUUAACUGACGCU